AACGAACGCUGGCGGCAGGCCUAACACAUGCAAGUCGAACGCCCUAGCAAUAGGGAGUGGCAGACGGGUGAGUAACACGUGGGAACGUGCCCUUCGGUUCGGAAUAACUCAGGGAAACUUGAGCUAAUACCGGAUACGUGCGAGAGCAGAAAGAUUUAUCGCCGGAGGAUCGGUCCGCGUCCGAUUAGCUAGUUGGUGAGGUAAUGGCUCACCAAGGCGAAGAUCGGGAGCUGGUCUGAGAGGAUGACCAGCCACACUGGGACUGAGACACGGCCCAGACUCCUACGGGAGGCAGCAGUGGGGAAUAUUGGACAAUGGGCGCAAGCCUGAUCCAGCCAUGCCGCGUGGAUGAUGAAGGCCCUAGGGUUGUAAAGCUCUUUCGCCAGGGACGAUAAUGACGGUACCUGGAUAAGAAGCCCCGGCUAACUUCGUGCCAGCAGCCGCAGUAA
rnacentral:rRNA from 1 species